UACGAAGGGGGGCUAGCGUUGCUCGGAAUUACUGGGCGUAAAGGGCGCGUAGGCGGACAGUUUAGUCAGAGGUGAAAGCCCAGGGCUCAACCCUGGAAUUGCCUUUGAUACUGGACGGCUCGAGACCGGAAGAGGUCAGUGGAACUGCGAGUGUAGAGGUGAAAUUCGUAGAUAUUCGCAAGAACACCGGUGGCGAAGGCGGCCAACUGGACCAUUACUGACGCUGAGGCGCGAAAGCGUGGGGAGCAAACAGG
rnacentral:rRNA from 1 species